ensembl:lncRNA OVCH1-AS1 OVCH1 antisense RNA 1
GGGCCGGAAAGUAUGGCGGCCGCUUGAACGCCGCGCGGCGGAGGCCAUUAAGGCGUGGAGGGCCCGGGAAGGCGGCCUAGGGACGCAAGCAGGCUCGGCCACCUCUUUAGGCCACGGAGCCGCGCAGAUCCGGUUCCCGGGUGACCACUCUGUCGCCAUUGGGCGAGACCGACCUAGUCCUGACGACAACGGACAAAGGCCUUCAGGGGCCUGGAAGGGAUAUGAUAUUGAAGCACGUGACAAGUUGGUGAUUUCAGCAAUGGUUUCUCCUGUCUAUAGAAACUCUUCAGCAGAUGGCAAUUUUCCACCUUCCUGUAUAAAACCAGAAUCCUCUCACCUGGCAGAAAUCUUUCUCUCCAGAUGCUGCAAAGCCAGCACAGAUCAUCUUCUCUGUGAUCCCUCCUGGAUGGGCAGAAUAAAAGAAGAGGGGCUGAAGCGGAUGCUGCUUGAUAUCAUUUACAUGACCUAUUUUCAAAAAUAACAACUGGCAUUAAUGUUUAUGCAACAAAAAUAUGCUUACCUGCACUGAUGCUUCCCCAUCCGGUCACAGCACAGAUCUCCGAGGAAAAUAGAGGCUCUGCGCUGUGUGGGAGACAUACUGGCCUCACCACCGAGUUGUACUCCAGAGGAGAGCUUAGUUGUAUUAGGGCAAUGUCAGAGUCAUAACUUAGUGUGUUAAAGUCUUCAUGCACUAUUAUGUGUUUGGCCCUUCUCACCUGUAUCGGUGGCAAGUAAGCAAAUUACAACGUAAGAAAGUCAAAGAAUCCAGCAACUUCCUUGUUGAUGGUCCAAAAUAAUCCUAAAUUUCUGCACUUACAUACAUAAACAAUGCAGAAGACUUUCUAUUAAAUUUAAAAGAGCAAUAUUGGUUUACAAUUUGCAGGGGGCUAUGAACCACCUUCUGGAUAAAGGUGGUGCUGGAGAAAUAAAGCUUUGAAAACCUG